UGAAGAUGUGAAAAUUUGCUAAGGUGGAGAUUUGUUGAAAUAGCACAAUCUCACAUCUAAAAAAUAUAAGGUUGUGGAGAGUUUGUACUACUAUAAAUAGGGGUUGUUUCUCCACCUUUGAAUCAUCCCAAAUUUUGUCGUUUUCUUCAUAAGGUAAUUUUUCCCUCUUCCUAUUUGUAAUUUUUCAUUUGUAUCUUUUGUAGUGAAAUAUAUUUGGUAGUGUUUA
rnacentral:lncRNA from 1 species